GUUGGCUAUGGUGAUAUGCGGCCCAUUGGAGUAUGGGGUAAAUUGGUAGGGUCAUUGUGUGCCAUUGCUGGUGUAUUAACCAUAGCUUUACCUGUUCCUGUUAUUGUUUCCAAU
rfam:Octopus bimaculoides Scaffold165435_contig_1, whole genome shotgun sequence.